GGCACCAUGGCAGAGUGGUCAAUUGCAAGGGCCUGCAAAGCUCUAUAGUCAUCGGUUCAAAUCCGAUUGGUGCCUCCA
rnacentral:tRNA from 1 species